rnacentral:tRNA from 1 species
CAAAAAGUAGUUUACAGAAAAUAGUAGUUUUGGAUACUACAGAGAGAUAUUUUCUUUUUGA